GAGCUGGCCUCUGUACUCAACUGGGCAGGGGAAAAAAAACAAGGACCAGACAAAGCAAAAAAGGGCAUUUAAAGAGACAGCGCUGUGCAGAUGCAUAUUUGAUGGCCUGGCGCAGCAGGAAGGGGCGAACUCUAUGUCUGAGUUGGUCUUUGCUCAAGCAGUCCAGAAAUGGCUCAGAUAUGCUCCAGAUCGUACGGGUGGCGCGCAGGACACACAUCAUCCAUCCCCAUCCCGGAGUAAAUAAUAAAAAGUGACGUGAAACAUAGAAAUGUAAAUAGGAAACUUUGUCUUUUAAUAAAGUAUUUUGCAAAUGA